rnacentral:lncRNA from 1 species
AGUACUUUCAACUGAAAUAUUCCUUAAUUUAACAGAACCUAAUCUUGUUUAAAUUAUUGCGGCAGUUGCCCCGUGCAGAAAUGAGGAAGGGUAUGAAUAACUUUGUGCUACCUUAAACAGGCGAGCCAGUCAAAGGAAGGUAACCUUAAACAGGCGUACCCGGGAUAGUAUGAGAGGAAUGACUUCGUGCUACCUUAAACAGGCGAGCCAGUCAAAGGAAGGUAACCUUAAACAGGCGUACCCAGGAGGUGAGUGGUGCAGAGAGCAUACUGAACUAACAGCCGUUCCGCGGCUGUAUUUAUAUGGGAGCCCAAGAACUGGUUUGUUAUACAACAAACCAGUCGCUUAUGUAACUGAGCUGGUGUGAAAACUGGUUCGUUAUGUAACAAGCGACUCCGAAGGUAAACGCUGUUGCCAGACUACCUGUGUCCUGGACAUCAUGAGCUGUGGAAAUUGUCAUGGGCACAGGAUACCAAGGCUCAAAAGUUUUUGACUCUUUGAAAACAAAAUGGUUCAGUUUCAAGUUAAGAUAAGAUGCAGUUAGCUUAUGAAUAGCGCAUGCAGAAAUUUAGAUGAUAACACGAGAAACUCAGACCGAACAGAAAAUUCCCAGUUUACUAACUAUUUUUAACCAAAGCACUGCCCAUAGUGUAUCAAUUCAAAGCUAUAGAAAUGAGAAAAAAAAGUGGCGAACAGGAAAUUAUAAAAGGAAAAGUUGCAGCCCAUUAAAAUUGAGGAUGUAGUUCAUUGAUUUUUACGUAAAUACACGUUUCUAGUAAUUAAAAUAACACUCUUUCUUUAUUUAAAAUGAAUAAUUUGUUGAUAAUUUAUUGAAUGUUGAUCAGACACGGCCAAUUAAAUGUGGAAUAUUAUAGGUAGGAAAAUCACCACUGACGAAAGAGAAAGAG